UAAAAGCUGUCAUAUACUCGUAUUGAAAGCCUUCAUAUUGAAACACCUCAUCAACCUUAUCAUCCUCGAAUCUUUCUACAUAAACUCCCUAACACAGCAAAAACCUAAAAGGGAAGUCAGAAACUGUUCAGUUUUUUGUUUCAGUACUAGGUGAUUGAUCAGUUUGAUUUCUUGACAAAACGAGGAAAAGAGAGCAUUUUAGGUUGAAGAAAAACUUGAAUCAAUGGGUUACGUGAUUGUGAUAUCACUGCCAUUGAUCCUGUUCUUCCUCAUCACGGCCCUUGCUUGUUACCUUUUUGGUAGAUCGCGAGGCCGCCACGCUUCCUCACUACUAUGGACCACCACCACCAGCACCUCCUCCCGGAGUCCUUUCUCCGCCACCAGAAAAAUAGCAUUCUUGUGUACUUUUUUUGCUUCUCAUUGUAUAUGUCAUGUUGUUAAAAUUUGAGCAAGUUGGUAGUUUGUUAAUUGUAUGAGACCAAAUAAUUAUACGAGACUUGAAGACAUCAUACGUUACUAUUAACGAUACACACACAUUUCAACGAUU